rnacentral:rRNA from 1 species
GAUGAACGCUAGCUACAGGCUUAACACAUGCAAGUCGAGGGGUAACGAGAGGAAAGCUUGCUUUCCUUGUCGGCGACCGGCGCACGGGUGAGUAACGCGUAUCCAACCUGCCCCCAACUAGGGUAUAACCUUGCGAAAGUAAGACUAAUACCCUAUAAUUUCCUCAGAUGUCAUCUGACGAGGAAUAAAGAUUUAUCGGUUGUGGAUGGGGAUGCGGCUGAUUAGCUUGUUGGCGGGGUAACGGCCCACCAAGGCAACGAUCAGUAGGGGUUCUGAGAGGAAGGUCCCCCACACUGGAACUGAGACACGGUCCAAACUCCUACGGGAGGCAGCAGUGAGGAAUAUUGGUCAAUGGGCGGAAGCCUGAACCAGCCAAGUAGCGUGCAGGAUGACGGCCCUAUGGGUUGUAAACUGCUUUUAUACAGGAAUAAAGUUAGCCACGUGUGGUUAUUUGUAGGUACUGUAUGAAUAAGGACCGGCUAAUUCCGUGCCAGCCGCCGCAGUAA